rnacentral:rRNA from 1 species
AGAGAGAGACAUGCGCGCAUAUCAAUAAGCGGAGGAAAAGAAACUAACAAGGAUUCCCCUAGUAACGGCGAGUGAAGCGGGAAGAGCUCAAAUUUGAAAUCUUAAAGGGUUUCCCUUUACGAAUUAGUAGUUUAAAGAAGUGUUUUCUGUUGAGGUUUUGGUAAAAGUUCUUUGGAAUAGGACAUCAUAGAGGGUGAGAAUCCCGUAUUUGACCUUUACUUUCAACUUUGUGAUACACUUUCAAAGAGUCGGAUUGUUUGGGAAUGCAGUCCAAAAUGGGUGGUAAAUUUCAUCUAAAGCUAAAUAUUGGCGAGAGACCGAUAGCGAACAAGUACCGUGAGGGAAAGAUGAAAAGAACUUUGAAAAGAGAGUUAAACAGUACGUGAAAUUGUCAAAAGGGAAGCGUUUGACACCAGUGUUGUUUUUCUGAAAAUCAAUUAAAGAACUGUUUAUGCUAAGUUGUUUAGACUUUAUCAGCUAACUGUUUCAGUUUUGAGCUUUUCUUUAAUGCACUUUUCAGUUAACAAGUCAACAUCAAUUUCUUUUGCUGUAAAAAAGCUUGAGGAAGGUGGCUUGAGAUUCGUCUUAAGUGUUUAUAGCCUCUUGCCUAUGCAGUCGGAGAGAUUGAGGUCUGCAGCGUAGAUCCUUCGGGGCUAAAUGCAUUUGUGCUAAGUUAUAGCAUUUUAUAGACAACUUGUUGACUAUGAUUUGUCUUGUAGCUUACUCGCUUAUGUUAUUUUACCUACGCUUAGGAUGUUGAGCGCAUGUCUCUCUCU